rfam:Homo sapiens chromosome 11, GRCh38 reference primary assembly.
GCCGGGCGUGGUGGCGGGCGCCUGUAGUCCCAGGUACUUGGGAGGCUGAGGCAGGAGAAUUGCUUGAACCCGGGAGGUGGAGGUUGCAGUGAGCCAAGGUCUUGCCACUGCAGCACUCCAGCCUGGGCGACAGAGCGAGACUCUGUCUCAG